rnacentral:tRNA from 1 species
ACUCAUGUAGUUUACUUAAAACAUUACACUUUCACUGUAAAGAUGGACCUUGGUCUCGUGAGUG